GGACAGAGGAGCCUGGCAGGCUACAUUCCAUGGACUCACAGAGUCAGACACGACUGAAGGGAUUUAGCGCAAGCCACUGGGGAAGCCCUAUUGCUCACUAUAGUAGGCUAAAAUAAAGAUUCCUCAGGAUGUUCAAGCCCUAAUCCUCGGAGGAACGUGUCAGUGCUACUUUGUAUGACAAAUGGGACUCUGCAAAUGUGAUCAAGGAGGGACACAUGAGAAGCUGGAGGAGGAGGAAAUAUGAUGUAAGAGACUGGAGUGAUGUACUUUAAAGAGGGAUGAGGAGGCUACAAGCUGAGAAACACAGGAGGCCACUAGAAGUUGGAAAAGGAGCUAGGAGUCAUGUACGGAUGUGAGAGUUGGACCAUAAAGAAGGCUGAGCACCAAAGAACUGAUGUUUCCGAACUUGGUGCUGGAGAACGCUCUUGAGAGUCCCCUGGACUGCAAACCAGUCAAUCCUAAAGGAAAUCAACCCUGAAUAUACAUUGGAAGGACUGAUACUGAAGCUGAAGCUCCAAUAUUUUGG
ensembl:lncRNA